CUUGCCUACGGGAGGCAGCAGUGGGGGAUAUUGCACAAUGGGGGAAACCCUGAUGCAGCGACGCCGCGUGGGUGAAGAAGCGCCUCGGCGCGUAAAGCCCUGUCAGCAGGGAAGAAAAUGACGGUACCUGAAGAAGAAGCCCCGGCUAACUACGUGCCAGCAGCCGCGGUAAUACGUAGGGGGCAAGCGUUAUCCGGAUUCACUGGGUGUAAAGGGGGCGCAGACGGCGAUGCAAGCCAGGAGUGAAAGCACGGGGCACAACCCCGGGCCUGUUCUUGGAACUGCGUGGCUAGAGUGCAGGGGGG
rnacentral:rRNA from 1 species